rnacentral:rRNA from 1 species
GACGAACGCUGGCGGCGUGCUUAACACAUGCAAGUCGAACGGUAAGGCCCUUCGGGGUACACGAGUGGCGAACGGGUGAGUAACACGUGGGUGAUCUACCCUGCACUUCGGGAUAAGCCUGGGAAACUGGGUCUAAUACCGGAUAGGACCACUGCCUGCAUGGGUGGUGGUGGAAAGCUUUUGCGGUGUGGGAUGGGCCCGCGGCCUAUCAGCUUGUUGGUGGGGUGAUGGCAUACCAAGGCGACGACGGGUAGCCGGCCUGAGAGGGUGACCGGCCACACUGGGACUGAGAUACGGCCCAGACUCCUACGGGAGGCAGCAGUGGGGAAUAUUGCACAAUGGGCGCAAGCCUGAUGCAGCGACGCCGCGUGAGGGAUGACGGCCUUCGGGUUGUAAACCUCUUUCAGCACCGACGAAGCGCAAGUGACGGUAGGUGCAGAAGAAGGACCGGCCAACUACGUGCCAGCAGCCGCCGUAA